rnacentral:lncRNA from 1 species
GUGUCUUUGCAAAAAACUUUACUGCAUAUGUACACAUUGGUUGUUUGUCAAACUUAUGCAUGGUGGCCAGCAGUAGUCAGUGCCACUCUGCAACGGCACAUGUGGCUUUCCACACCCUCCGAAGCUUUAAGACUGGUAGUGGGGAUGGGGAGAGAGUGGCCUCUAAGGGGAGGUCAGAGAAUUGUUGCUGAGAGCAGCAGGAAUGGAGCCAGGGCCUCCAUGCCACCUUCAAGGUUGGUGCUGGUCCCAGUUUCUACACUGCAGCAGAGGAGAAGACCAAGGCUCCCAGGAAUGAAGGAAUUGUCCCACUCCGGGAUACAUGCCAGACUGUCCAUCUUGGGUCCUCGACUUCUCUGGCCCUUGCCCUGGGACCUGUGAACCUCACUUGAGAGCAGCACCAAUAAAUCUGUCCUGACAUCACUGUUUAUGCUCAGCAACAAGCAGCCCAUAAGCUCAUGCAUACAAGAGGUGGCCAAGUGUAUGCAGCAACAGGAGGAGGAAGCAAGAGCACAGGGACCACUGUCUACAUGAGGCAGGGGGUCGCUACCUGCCUCAGACACCUGGCAGAGGUUCUCAGUUGGGACCAGUGGACACCAUGACAACUUAGAGUGACUCCAGGACUGGUUGAAGGGACAUCAUCUGGGACAUUGACUCAGAAGGGGGUCUUCCCUAUGAAUCUGGCUUGCCCUUUCUUCUCCACAGGGGAGCGUUCUGAGGUCCUGAGGGGUGGGGUAACUUAAUGUCAGGAUCUCGGUCCAAUCCCUUAGAUUACUGUGCGUUCAGACCCAUUGUCCAUUUUAACACUCAAAAUCCUUUAACUGCAUGUAGUAUAACUAAAUACAGACUCAUGUCUGUGUUUUCAUGAUCAAAAGUAUAAACAACAUUUUUUUUUGAGACAGUGUCUUGCUACAUUGUGAGGCUGGCCUUGAACCUGUCAUC